GUUUGAUCCUGGCUCAGGAUGAACGCUGGCGGCGUGCCUAAUACAUGCAAGUCGAGCGAACAGACGAGGAGCUUGCUCCUCUGACGUUAGCGGCGGACGGGUGAGUAACACGUGGAUAACCUACCUAUAAGACUGGGAUAACUUCGGGAAACCGGAGCUAAUACCGGAUAAUAUAUUGAACCGCAUGGUUCAAUAGUGAAAGACGGUUUUGCUGUCACUUAUAGAUGGAUCCGCGCCGCAUUAGCUAGUUGGUAAGGUAACGGCUUACCAAGGCAACGAUGCGUAGCCGACCUGAGAGGGUGAUCGGCCACACUGGAACUGAGACACGGUCCAGACUCCUACGGGAGGCAGCAGUAGGGAAUCUUCCGCAAUGGGCGAAAGCCUGACGGAGCAACGCCGCGUGAGUGAUGAAGGUCUUCGGAUCGUAAAACUCUGUUAUUAGGGAAGAACAAAUGUGUAAGUAACUAUGCACGUCUUGACGGUACCUAAUCAGAAAGCCACGGCUAACUACGUGCCAGCAGCCGCGGUAAUACGUAGGUGGCAAGCGUUAUCCGGAAUUAUUGGGCGUAAAGCGCGCGUAGGCGGUUUUUUAAGUCUGAUGUGAAAGCCCACGGCUCAACCGUGGAGGGUCAUUGGAAACUGGAAAACUUGAGUGCAGAAGAGGAAAGUGGAAUUCCAUGUGUAGCGGUGAAAUGCGCAGAGAUAUGGAGGAACACCAGUGGCGAAGGCGACUUUCUGGUCUGUAACUGACGCUGAUGUGCGAAAGCGUGGGGAUCAAACAGGAUUAGAUACCCUGGUAGUCCACGCCGUAAACGAUGAGUGCUAAGUGUUAGGGGGUUUCCGCCCCUUAGUGCUGCAGCUAACGCAUUAAGCACUCCGCCUGGGGAGUACGACCGCAAGGUUGAAACUCAAAGGAAUUGACGGGGGCCCGCACAAGCGGUGGAGCAUGUGGUUUAAUUCGAAGCAACGCGAAGAACCUUACCAGGUCUUGACAUCCCUCUGACCGCUCUAGAGAUAGAGUUUUCCUUCGGGACAGAGGUGACAGGUGGUGCAUGGUUGUCGUCAGCUCGUGUCGUGAGAUGUUGGGUUAAGUCCC
rnacentral:rRNA from 1 species